rnacentral:rRNA from 1 species
GAUGAACGCUGGCGGCGUGCCUAAUACAUGCAAGUCGAGCGAACAGACGAGGAGCUUGCUCCUCUGACGUUAGCGGCGGACGGGUGAGUAACACGUGGAUAACCUACCUAUAAGACUGGGAUAACUUCGGGAAACCGGAGCUAAUACCGGAUAAUAUAUUGAACCGCAUGGUUCAAUAGUGAAAGACGGUUUUGCUGUUACUUAUAGAUGGUUCCGCGCCGCAUUAGCUAGUUGGUAAGGUAACGGCUUACCAAGGCGACGAUGCGUAGCCGACCUGAGAGGGGGAUCGGCCACACUGGAACUGAGACACGGUCCAGACUCCUACGGGAGGCAGCAGUGGGGAAUCUUCCGCAAUGGGCGAAAGCCUGACGGAGCAACGCCGCGUGAGUGAUGAAGUUCUUCGGAUCGUAAAACUCUGUUAUUAGGGAAGAACAAAUGUGUAAGUAACUAUGCACGUCGUGACGGUACCUAAUCAGAAAGCCACGGCUAACUACGUG